rnacentral:misc_RNA from 1 species
AAGUCGUAACAAGGUUUCCGUAGGUGAACCUGCGGAAGGAUCAUUAUAAAGUCUGCCAGGCUUCGGCCUGGCGCACAGCCUGAAUUUUGAGUGGUCAGCAUAUUUUGUUUUUCUAACAUUUUUUUGUGCUUACCUCACGUGGCGCGUAGGGUUCAAUGUGCCUAGCUGUUAAGAAGGCUUGCGUCGUGCAAAGUUGUUUUUUUUUUGCUUUCGCUAACCACUAACUACCUUUGUACGGCUGCAUACCCAUAGGCUAGGCCUUGACCCGAAACAAUCUACCUCACACUUUACUGUCUGAAUCUUUUGUUGUUCAUCUGAACUCCAAUAUGAAUUAUUAAACAACUUUUAACAACGGAUCUCUUGGCUCUC